CCUGAGGGACUCUCCUGAGAAACAGAUAUAGGACAUAGUCCAACUUGUUCUGCUACCAGCUGAAGUUACAUUAGCUUGAUUUAGGAGCCAGCCUGGAGUGGACUGGGGCAGCAGUUCCCUGGAAACAAAAACUGAAGUCUCAAACAAAUAGUUCAGCAGAAGUCAAGGCAAAGGAGCACUGGCCCAUUCUCUUCUGGAGGAAGACCUAACUCCUUGAAGAGCACAUAUUUUCAAGGCCUGAGGAGACUGAGCAACCUGAGAAGGUCAGAAGAACUGGAGUCUCCACCUCAGGCUGCCUCAGUUGGUCUCUAAAACCAGUGCUG
rnacentral:lncRNA from 1 species